rnacentral:rRNA from 1 species
UACGUGGUUGAUACUGCCAGUAGUCAUAUGCUUGAC